rnacentral:rRNA from 1 species
AUACGGAGGGUGCAAGCGUUGUUCGGAAUUACUGGGCGUAAAGCGUGUGUAGGCGGCUUGGUAAGUCAGAUGUGAAAGCCCUUGGCUCAACCAAGGAAGUGCAUCUGAUACUGUCAAGCUUGAGUCCUGGAGAGGGGUGUGGAAUUCCCGGUGUAGAGGUGAAAUUCGUAGAUAUCGGGAGGAACACCAGUGGCGAAGGCGACACCCUGGAUGGAGACUGACGCUGAGACACGAAAGCGUGGGGAGCAAACAGGAUUAGAAACCCGAGUAGUCC